CUCCCCAAACCCUAGCCGCCACUUAGCGCACCUCCUCCCACCUCCCAGCAUCGGCAAGGCCCGCCCAAGCCCGGAACCGGUACGCUCGGGCUUGACCGAGAGGCACCGUCCGAUGUGCCGCGCUCGUCCCCGAGAUCGCCAACAGCCACACGAGUUUCCCGAGCUCCUCUGCCCGAGCCGCGCUGUUGAACGAUGGCGCCCGCCCGAACUGCGCCGCCUGCCAUCGCUUCCGGCUAGGCCCAUGCCGCCGCGCUCCCAUUCUUCUCACUCGACCCCUUGUCUUUCUACUCCCUCUCUCCGCUCUAAUUUUCUCUCUAUCUCUCCUGAGAUGCGACAGGGAACUGCCACCAUGGAGCUCGAUGGCCGCCUCCGCCGUCGGGAAUGGGGGCCGCCGCCCCAGAUCUGUCCGUCCCCAAGCCCGCAGGACCCCUCCUGCGACCACCAGUGACGACCUCGUGCCGCGAGAUCUCGCUGCCGCCAUGGCCUCCGCUCUUGUGCGGUAGCGCGAGGGAGACGACCGAGCGGUCGGGCCAGCCCAUCCCGCGCCAUAUCCUCUAGCCCAGCCGGCCCUUGCCUCGUGCGCCGCCUCAACCCAAUCUCGGCCUCCCUCAACACCUCCACCGACCAGACCUCAGCGCACUAGGUGAACACACCCAGCUGUGCUAUCAUACGCUCGUGGGUGCUAUUUAAUAUUGUGCGCCUAAUAGACCUGACCGAGUUAACAUUUUUUGUUAAAACAAUUUUCCCAAUUAUUCGUGGACAUUUUAAUUAAGAUUAAUGCAUCAUUCUGAACUGCUCAUAUCUAAUUAACCAUGCAUCGGAUUAAAAUGAUUUUAACAUGUAGAAUGUCGAGCAUUUUGUGUAGAUUUGAAAUAACCAAAUUCGUGCAUGUUUAAGAUGUUUGACCUGUUGUUUGCAUUGAUUUGUGUGAUGCCAUAUUGGAAUGAUUUAGUGCAUAGGAAAUUAAUCGUGCAUCUGAUUUAAUAACUUCAUACAUGAAAGUUGCUUAGAAUUGUGUGUAGUUUCACAAUAUCCAACUUUCAACCAUGUUUAAAAUGUUCGACUUGUUGUUUUCAUGUAGUUUGCAUAAUUUCCAUGUUAAAAUGAUUUAUUUCAUAACUAAUUAACCGUAGCUCUGAUUAAAAUGUGUAGAAUACCAUCAUAGUAUUUAUUUUGCUAUUUAAAAACUCUAAAAUUGUGCAUAGGAAGAAUAGUACCGAAUCUUAAUUUGCAUAUGGAGGCUUUCCAGAAUUGAUAUUCGUUGUUCCGGCCUCAUUUAAACUAGCCUAUAAUUAUGUAUAGUUUCGUAAUGUCUUGUUGCAUCAAUUUUAAUAUGCUUGUGGCUGUCAUUUGCAUACAUUUUGCAUCCGUGGCAUAACAUCUUGUGUUGCUCAUAUAUUUUAGACCGUAGCUCUGUUUUAAAUGAUCUAUAUAUGUAAAUUGACUAGAAUGACGUGUAGAAUCACAUGGACCACUUUAUUUUGCUAUUUAAUAAAUACGAAAUGUGUUUAGUCUAGAUCUGGACCAAUUUCAAAAUUCACAAAUGGGGUCAUUUCAGAAAUACAAUAUGUUGUUUCUGACCCCAUUUAAAAUGCCUAGAUAUUGUAGUUUAAUUAUGCUUUACCUUUUGUCAUGUUAAACAACAUUUAUUAUUGAUGACUAUGUAAACGAGAUUGAACUAAAUAAUUCAAAUGUGGAGUUUCGUUAAUAUGCAACUCAUUGCAUAUUGAGCUUCAUUUAAUGUGUUUUAAUAAUUUGUUGUGCUUUGUCGUGUCAUGCAUAAUUAAAUAGACAUGCAACAUAAUUGCUUGCACAUCAUGUCAUGCAAAUGUUGUGGUGUUUAUUGUGUGUUGAUUUUUAUUUUUGGAUUGUUUCUUAUCGAUAGAGUUCCACAAGUGUGUUGGAGUGUGAGGAUUCGUUCGACUAUGUCGGUUCGUCUACUUCACGGAUUCGUUCUUCUUCCAAGCGGGAUCACAUGCAAUAUGAUCAUUUCCCUAGAUACAAUUACUAUCGCUGCCAUGUGAUACGUCUCCGUCGUAUCUAUAAUUUUUGAUUGUUUCAUGCUAAUAUUCUACAACUUUCAUAUAUUUUCGGCAACUUUUUAUAUUAUUUUUGGGACUAACAUAUUGAUCCAGUGCCUAGUGCUAGUUCCUGUUUGUUGCAUGUUUUUUGUUUCGGAGAAUAUCCAUACCAAACGAAGUCCAAACGCAAUAGAAAACCUACGGUGAUUUUUUAUGGAAUAUUUAUGAUUAUUGGGAAGAAGAAUCAACGCGAAACGAUGCCCGAGGGGGUCACAAGCCCUGGAGGCGCCCCCCUAGGGCGCGGCUGGCAGGCUUGUGA
rnacentral:lncRNA from 1 species